GGUGGUGUAGCUCAAUGGUAGAGCACUUGCCUGGCAUGUGCAAGGCCCUGGUUUCAAUCUCCUGAACUGCCC
rnacentral:tRNA from 1 species